GGUGUUUUGGCCGAGCGGUCUAAGGCGCUAGCUUAAGGUUUGUUGACCCGCUAGUCCGAAAGGGCGUGAGUUCGAAUCUCACAGACAUCA
rnacentral:tRNA from 1 species